ACAUGUACCUGCCAGGAGAGAUCCCAUGACCACAAAGGUUGUUUUCUAAGAGUGAGGCUUAACCAUUGCCUCCAAUAUGCUGAUUCCUGUGAUUUCCCCAAAUGUGGGAAAUUGAUUGCAUAAUUUACAGUAGUAGGGGCCCGAGUUUGCACUCUCCCCUA
rnacentral:snRNA from 1 species